rnacentral:rRNA from 1 species
UUUAGUACAAUUUUUUUAAAUUUAAUGAAUUAAUUUAUUGGGGGUAAAAUUUUAAUUUUUUGGUGUUAUAAUUUAAUUGUGCUAGUAAGUUUUGUUUGUCAAGUUAGAUUAGUACCUAAUUAGUCAAUGGUUAUUAUGUUCAGGAGUAAAGUGUGUUUUAAACUGAAAUAAUUUUGGCAGAUUCACUAAAUUAUCUUUGGAGGUUGAGUGAUAAUUGAGAACCCUCAUUGACUACUUGCUGUUUUAGCUUAUGUAUGAUCGUUUAUUAAAUGCUUUAGGUUUUUAAUUUUAUUUACUAGAUGUAAAAAUAGAUAUAUAUUUGGUUUAUCAGUUGAGUUAAUUUGACCUACAGUUUUUUAUAUAAUGGAUUUUUGGGUUAGUUCUAGAUUGAAAUUGUAAAAGACAGUAAAAAAAUUUUUAUGUUUUUUUGAAGUGUAU